UAAAAGCAGAAUGUGCAAAAAGCUGAUCUGCCUGGAGAUGAGGAGCAGAUAGGAACCGAGAUACCAGGAGGCAGAGAGAGAGUGAUGGAAGAAGGAAAUGGGAGAACUACAGUGAUAAAGACAGUAAAUGGCACACGAAAAAGGAGGUGAAGAAAUUCUGAGCCAGCAAGAAUAAAAAAAGAAGAAUAGAUGAUGAAAUGUUGGCAACUGUGAGGAAGACUGAAGGAUACACUCAAACUAGGAGAAUAGGAUGCUUUGUUUUCUGAAAAUCAAGUUUGAAGGAGAUCCAGUAUUACCACAACAGACAUCCUCUCCCCCUGGAAAUAAUGAAGACAAGAUGAUAAGAAAUGUUUUAAAAGAGGGAGCAAACGUGGAAGAUCAAGCGUAUAGGAAAAAGG
rnacentral:lncRNA from 1 species